CACCGCGGUUAUACGAGGGGCUCAAGUUGAUAUUUAUCGGCGUAAAGGGUGGUUAUGGAACAUAUAAACUAAAGCCGAACCUCCUGAAGGCUGUCAUAAGCGUACCAGGAGAAGAAGCCCAACUACGAAGGUGGCUUUAUAACCCCUGACCCCACGAGAGCUAUGGUA
rnacentral:rRNA from 2 species